rnacentral:rRNA from 1 species
GUCUUUUUGAUUAUAAUUUAAAGUCUAAUCUGCCCACUGAAAAUUUUUAAAUGGCCGCGGUAUCUUGACCGUGCAAAGGUAGCAUAAUCAUUAGUUUUUUAAUUGAAAGCUGGUAUGAAUGAUUGAAUGAGAAAAUAGCUGUCUCAAGUUAAUUUAUAUAGAAUUUUAUUUUUAAGUUAAAAAGCUUAAAUUUUUUUAAAAGACGAGAAGACCCUAUAGAGUUUAAUAUUUUAAGUAGAAAUUAUUAAAAGGGUUUUUUAAAUAAAUUUUAUUUUAAGUAUUUUGUUGGGGUGACAGAAAAAUUAGAUAAACUUUUUUUUUAUUAUUACAUUAAUUUAUGGUUAUAUGAUCCAAUAUUUUUGAUUAUAAGAUAAAAUUACCUUAGGGAUAACAGCGUAAUUUUUUUUUAGAGUUCUUAUCGAAAAAAAAGAUUGCGACCUCGAUGUUGGAUUAAAAUUUAUUUUUGGUGUAGAAGCUAAAAUAUUAGGUCUGUUCGACCUUUGAAAUUUUACA